AGAGUUUGAUCAUGGCUCAGGAUGAACGCUAGCUACAGGCUUAACACAUGCAAGUCGAGGGGAAACGACAUCGAAAGCUUGCUUUUGAUGGGCGUCGACCGGCGCACGGGUGAGUAACGCGUAUCCAACCUGCCCACCACUUGGGGAUAACCUUGCGAAAGUAAGACUAAUACCCAAUGACGUCUCUAGAAGACAUCUGAAAGGGAUUAAAGAUUUAUCGGUGAUGGAUGGGGAUGCGUCUGAUUAGCUUGUUGGCGGGGUAACGGCCCACCAAGGCUACGAUCAGGUAGGGGUUCUGAGAGGAGGUCCCCCANAUUGGAACUGAGACACGGUCCAAACUCCUACGGGAGGCA
rnacentral:rRNA from 1 species